UUUUCUCACUCUCCUUCAAAGCUAAGAACCCUCGAUUUCAAUGGCGAUCCUUCUUCUCCACUGCGAAGGGCGGAGCAGAGGAUGCCGAUGAAGUCGAAAGACAAGGUGGGAAGGCGGUUCUCUUCCCGGUCGGUGUUGCCGCUUGUCUUGGCCGCCGGUUUGAUCCUCCUGCUCCUCUUCAUAUGCUUCUCUUACUUCGUGCUCGAAGCCGGCGCUUCCAUCUGCCUCUCCAUCGGUUGUUUGCGGUGGAGGAUCGGUCAUGCAUUCCUUGGCAGUGGUGAUCCGUCGGAGGAGCUUGUGAGGGAGCUGAGAAAAGCUUUUGUGGGUGAUGAGGAUGGGAAAGAUGGGCCCUUGGUGGAUCAGAUGGCUUUGGAUGCUGCUGCUGAAUCAUUGGACGCUUUGAUUGCGGAGAUGGCCAUUUCUACGUCGGACUAUAAUCAACACAUUGAUGUCAAGACUUUUGCUCACAAGGCCAUGGCUAUGAUCAUGAAUAUGGAUCGAAAAGUGAAGAAGGCAAGGCUGCAGGAACUGAUUUAUCAGCAACUAGCAUCAAUUGGGAUCCCAGUGAGCAUGCACUGCCUUACUCUACUGCUUGCUGAUGAAUACACAGCGAACUCACUUGCCAGAUCCUCUCUGCCACCACCUGAAUAUUCCUCUCGCCUGACGGAUGACUCCUAUAUCCACAUAGCUCUCCUAACCAACAAUGUCCUUGCAGCAGCUGUAGUGGUCUCCUCCACCUUGGCAAGCUCCACCAGCCAGGAGAACUUGGUAUUUCACAUUGUCACUGAUAAGAAUACCUACACAGCCAUGCACACAUGGUUUUCUCUCAACCCUGUCUUUCCUGCCAUCAUAGAGGUCAAGGGCUUGCACCAAUUUGACUGGCCUGCUAAUGUGAAUGCAUUGGUAAUGGAAACAGUACAAGAGAUCCACCAUAGCUCACUGGUUCAUCAUCAACUCGCCAGAGUAAAUGAAGAGUUUGGAAGGCUUCAAACUUUAAAUCCAAGUGCCUUUUCACUCUUGAAUUACCUGAGAAUUCACCUCCCUGAGCUAUUUCCAAAACUCAGACGGGUGAUUUUUCUGGAUGAUGAUGUUGUUGUGCGGCAAGACUUUACAGAAUUGUGGAACUCUGAUCUUAAUGGGAAUGUUAAUGGUGCAGUUACCGCAGCAGUAAUUAAUGACAAGGGCUACCAACAGUGCCUUGGGAAGCAAUAUCAGGAUUACUUGAAUUUCUCAAACCCAAUUAUAUCAUCCCCUUUAUUAGGACUAGAGAGUCAGAAAUGCGCAUGGCUAGGCGGAAUGAAUGUGUUUGAUCUUGAGGCUUGGAGACAAACCGACAUCACCAAGACCUAUCAGCACUGGCUUAAACUGAACCGAGAAUCUGGUUUUCACUUGUGGCGAAUGGGAGCUCAACCACCGGCUCUAAUAGCAUUCAGCGGCCAAGUGCAGCUGAUUGAUCCCUCAUGGCACUUAUCAGGACUGGGUCGAAGACUGCCUUAUCCUGAACUCCUUGAAUCAUCAUCUGUUCUGCAUUAUAGUGGACCUCGGAAGCCAUGGCUUGGAACUGGUAUACCUGAGCUACUAGUCUUCUGGAGAACUUAUCUUAAUCAUUCCAAUGAUUUCUUAAGCAAUUGCAAAGUUAUGGAGUAAAUUAAUCAUCAGAAUAAACCAUCAAAUAAAGCACUACUCUGCAGCUACAUACUGGUUUGAAGUUUGAGCAGAGGGAAGUUGGUAUUGCCUUCAGUCUCUGCUUAGACUAACUUUGUAUAUAAUGUGUAUGUAUUGUAUUUGUAGUUGGAGCAGGAGAUGCCAAUAAUGGAAGUGAAUUUUAUCUGAGAAAGAGAGCAAUGAACAUUACCUAAUCAUGAUUGAAUUGUAGUGAGCCAUGGAUCCAAGUCAAAUUUGGGAUUCAUUUUCAAUGGUGGGAUAAUAGUUGAUUUCAAGGUGAUGUGUUAGCUUUUGACACUACUUGCUAGAUCAGGAUUUUUUAUUAAAAUUUAUAAAAUUAUUUGUGUUUUGAAAUAAAAUACCAAGUCUU